GUAACACGUGGGAACGUGCCUUUAGGUUCGGAAUAAGCCCGGGAAACUGGGUCUAAUACCGGAUGUGCCCUUCGGGGGAAAGAUUUAUCGCCUUUAGAGCGGCCCGCGUCUGAUUAGCUAGUUGGUGGUGUAAUGGACCACCAAGGCUACGAUCAGUAGCUGGUCUGAGAGGAUGACCAGCCACAUUGGGACUGAGACACGGCCCAAACUCCUACGGGAGGCAGCAGUGGGGAAUCUUGCGCAAUGGGCGAAAGCCUGACGCAGCCAUGCCGCGUGUAUGAUGAAGGUCUUAGGAUUGUAAAAUACUUUCACCGGUGAAGAUAAUGACUGUAGCCGGAGAAGAAGCCCCGGCUAACUUCGUGCCAGCAGCCGCGGUAAUACGAAGGGGGCUAGCGUUGCUCGGAAUUACUGGGCGUAAAGGGAGCGUAGGCGGACAUUUAAGUCAGGGGUGAAAUCCCAGAGCUCAACUCUGGAACUGCCUUUGAUACUGGGUGUCUUGAGUGUGAUAGAGGUAUGUGGAACUCCGAGUGUAGAGGUGAAAUUCGUAGAUAUUCGGAAGAACACCAGUGGCGAAGGCGACAUACUGGAUCAUUACUGACGCUGAGGCU
rnacentral:rRNA from 1 species